rnacentral:rRNA from 1 species
GACGAACGCUGGCGGCGUGCCUAAUACAUGCAAGUCGACCUUAGUGGCGGACGGGUGAGUAACGCCUAGGAAUCUGCCUGGUAGUGGGGGAUAACGUCUGGAAACGGGCGCUAAUAACGCCUACUCUCAGUCGCGCCUAGGUCGGAUUAGCUUGUUGGUGGGGUAAAGGCCUACCAAGGCGACGCUCCGUAACUGGUCUGAGAGGAGGAGCAGCCACACUGGAACUGAGACACGGUCCAGACUCCUACGGGAGGCAGCAGUGGGGAAUAUUGGACAAUGGGCGAAAGCCUGAUCCAGCCAUGCCGCGUGUGUGAAGAAGGCCUUCGGGUUGUAAAGUUCUUUCGGUAGCGAGGCGUUAACUACAGAGGAAGCACCGGCUAACUCCGUGCCAGCAGCCGCGGUAAUUC